AUUGAACGCUGGCGGAAUGCUUUACACAUGCAAGUCGAGCGGCAGCGCGGGGCAACCUGGCGGCGAGCGGCGAACGGGUGAGUAAUGUAUCGGAACGUGUGCUGUCGUGGGGGAUAGCCCGGUGAAAACCGGAUUAAUACCGCAUACGCUCGCGAGCUGACAGUGGGGGACCGCACGCCCUCACGCGAUAGGAGCGCGCGACAUCUGAUUAGCUAGUUGGUGGGGUAAAGGCCCACCAAGGCUUCGAGCUGUAGCUGGUCUGAGAGGAUGAUCAGCCACACUGGGACUGAGAGACGGCCCAGACUCCUAGGGGAGGCAGCAGUGGGGAAUUUUGGACAAUGGGGGCAACCCUGAUCCAGCCAUUCCGCGUGAGUGAAGAAGGCCUUCGGGUUGUAAAGCUCUUUUGUCCGGGAAGAAACGGUUUUGGCUAAUAACCAAGACUACUGACGGUACCGGAAGAAUAAGGACCGGCUAACUACGUGCCAGCCGCCGCCGUAA
rnacentral:rRNA from 1 species